GUAGGUGGCAAGCGUUGUCCGGGAAUUAUUGGGGCGUAAAGCGCGCGCAGGCGGGUUCUUUAAGUCUGAUGUGAAAGCCCACGGGCUCAACCGUGGGAGGGUCAUUGGAAACUGGAGAACUUGAGUACAGAAGAGGAAAGCGGAAUUCCACGUGUAGCGGUGAAAUGCGUAGAGAUGUGGAGGAGCACCAGUGGCGAAGGCGGCUUUCUGGUCUGUAACUGACGCUGAGGCGCGAAAGCGUGGGGAGCAAACAGGAUUAGAUACCCUGGUAGUCCACGCCGUAAACGAUGAGUGCUAAGUGUUAGGGGGUUUCCGCCCCUUAGUGCUGCAGCUAACGCAUUAAGCACUCCGCCUGGGGAGUACGGCCGCAAAGGCUGA
rnacentral:rRNA from 1 species